GACGAACGCUGGCGGCGUGCUUAACACAUGCAAGUCGAACGGAAAGGCCCCUUUGGGGGUACUCGAGUGGCGAACGGGUGAGUAACACGUGAUUAACCUGCCCUUGACUUCGGGAUAACUUCAGGAAACUGGGGCUAAUACCGGAUAGGAAUCCUUGCUGCAUGGUGGGGGUUGGAAAGCUUCGGCGGUUUUGGAUGGACUCGCGGCUUAUCAGCUUGUUGGUGGGGUAGUGGCUUACCAAGGCUUUGACGGGUAGCCGGCCUGAGAGGGCGACCGGCCACAUUGGGACUGAGAUACGGCCCAGACUCCUACGGGAGGCAGCAGUGGGGAAUAUUGCACAAUGGGCGGAAGCCUGAUGCAGCAACGCCGCGUGCGGGAUGACGGCCUUCGGGUUGUAAACCGCUUUCAGCAGGGGCGAAGCUUGUGGUGACGGUACCUGCAGAAGAAGCACCGGCUAACUACGUG
rnacentral:rRNA from 1 species